GUAGCAAUACGAGAGGUUUCCUAGUGGCGAAUGGGUGAGUAACACGUGGGCGACCUGCCCCGAAGUGGGGGAUAACAGCUCGAAAGGGCUGCUAAUACCGCAUGUGGUUGCCGGGGUUAGAGGCCUGGCAACAAAAGCAGCAAUGCGCUUCGGGAGGGGCCUGCGGCCCAUCAGGUAGUUGGCAGGGUAACGGCCUACCAAGCCUAUGACGGGUAGGGGACCUGAGAGGGUGGUCCCCCACACUGGCACUGAAACACGGGCCAGACACCUACGGGUGGCAGCAGUAGGGAAUAUUGCACAAUGGGCGAAAGCCUGAUGCAGCAACGCCGCGUGCGCGAUGAAGGCCUUCGGGUCGUAAAGCGCUUUUCGGGGGGAUGAGGAAGGACAGUACCCCCGGAAUAAGUGACGGCUAACUACGUGCCAGCAGCCGCGGUAAAACGUAGGUCACGAGCGUUAUCCGGAUUUACUGGGCGUAAAGCGCGUGCAGGCGGUCAGGCAAGUCGGGCGUGAAAUCUCUCGGCUCAACCGGGAGGGGUCGUCCGAAACUACCAGACUAGAGGGCAGUAGAGGGAGGUGGAAUUCCCGGUGUAGUGGUGAAAUGCGUAGAGAUCGGGAGGAACACCUGUGGCGAAGGCGGCCUCCUGGGCUGCCCCUGACGCUCAGACGCGAAAGCUAGGGGAGCGAACGGGAUUAGAAACCCCGGGUAGUCCUAGCCGUAAACG
rnacentral:rRNA from 1 species